UUUGACGCGCUACCAUUGCGCCACAAGGUCCGCAUUGGUGUAAUAGUUUCUACUGUAACUGCUCAGUCAGACGUGUUUUAAGCUGUUUAUUUUCUGUCUGAGGUAAAAAUGCUUCUUCCUCUUGGAGAACACUACAUUGUGUCUCGGACUGAGCAGAGUGAAGGGUAUAGAAGAUGGAAACGCAGCAUGAGAGAGCAAGUUUUUUGCCAUCUCUUGCUUCCAGGAGUGAGCCAACAAAGCCCCAUCAGAAGAACAUCCUGCGGCCUGCAGGGGGAGCCACUCAGCUGAUGAGAGGAGUUCAGAUCCAGCAGUGCAGAGACAGAGGAAACCUGGAGCUGUGCUGCGUUCAAGGACCUGUGAAGCUGGAGGAGGAGUCCUGUAGGGCCUGG